GGAAAAAGAAAAAACAACUGACUUCUUUGCAAGCUUGGGCCUAAAGCAGAAAGGAGCUCGCUGAUCAAAGAAAACAAAUUUGAAUUUGGAGUACAAAGAAGAAUGUCAGAGGACAAUUUCAAGCUGCCAGUAAUCAGCAGAGGCAUGUGAGCUGGAGAGCAAGCCAAGCACACACUUGACAGGAGCAAUCAAGCUGUACAGGACAUCUCUCCUCAGUGAGAUUCAGAAAGGGCUUCUAGGCCCCAGGCUGGGAAUGCACACAACCUUAGGUUGAAUACCAAUCCCCUCAUUCUCUCUUUGGGUCAACUAGUCCACAUGCAAAUUACUUAACCUUGAGUUGCUUCUUUUGUAAUGGGGACACUAAGUUACCUUUUCCUUUAUACUUGAGAGGAAUAUCUAAUUAAAAUAAAGACUUUUUCCUCUGCGUUUGGAUAUAAAUGCUUAAUUCUUUUAGCUGACAAUUUUAUCACUUCUUGCUUCCUCAUUACAUAUAGAAUAAAUAUCAACUUCAUAGAAUAGAGUAAACCAUUACAGCUCUGAUUAA